rnacentral:rRNA from 1 species
GACGAACGCUGGCGGCGUGCUUAACACAUGCAAGUCGAACGGUGAAGCACCUUCCUUUUGGUGAGUGUGGAUGAGUGGCGAACGGGUGAGUAACACGUGAGUAACCUGCCCCCUUCUUCUGGAUAACCGCAUGAAAGUGUGGCUAAUACGGGAUAUUCUGGGUCUGUCGCAUGGCGGGCCUGGGAAAGAUAUUGUUUCGGUGGGGGAUGGGCUCGCGGUCUAUCAGCUUGUUGGUGGGGUGAUGGCCUACCAAGGCGGUGACGGGUAGCCGGCCUGAGAGGGUGGACGGUCACACUGGGACUGAGACACGGCCCAGACUCCUACGGGAGGCAGCAGUGGGGAAUAUUGCACAAUGGGCGCAAGCCUGAUGCAGCGACGCCGCGUGAGGGAUGGAGGCCUUCGGGUUGUAAACCUCUUUCGCCAGUGAAGCAGGCCUGUCCCUUUUGUGGGUGGGUUGACGGUAGCUGGAUAAGAAGCGCCGGCUAACUACGUG